UACGGGGGGGGCAAGCGGUUGUUCGGAAUUACUGGGCGUAAAGGGCUCGUAGGCGGCCAACUAAGUCGGAUGUGAAAUCCCCAGGCUCAACCUGGGAACUGCAUCCGAUACUGGAUGGCUUGAAUUCGGGAGAGGGAUGCAGAAUUCCAGGUGUAGCGGUGAAAUGCGUAGAUAUCUGGAGGAAUACCGGUGGCGAAGGCGGCAUCCUGGACCGACAUUGACGCUGAGGAGCGAAAGCCAGGGGAGCAAACGGG
rnacentral:rRNA from 1 species